AGCGAACGCUGGCGGCAGGCUUAACACAUGCAAGUCGAACGGGCACCCAUGUCGGUGUCGCUCUGGUGAGUAACGCGUGGGGACGUGUCCUGAGGUGGAUGGCAACCCCCGGUAACUGGGGCUAUUACCGCGUAUGAGCUGAGCCCCAAAGACAUACGGCGCCAUUGGAGCGGCCGGCGUCCGAUUAGGUAGUUGGUGGGGUAAAGGCCUACCAAGGCUGCGAUCGGUAGCUGGUCUGAGAGGACGACCAGCCACACUGGGACUGAGACACGGCCCAGACUCCUACGGGAGGCAGCAGUGGGGAAUCUUGGAAUAUGGGCGAAAGCCUGAUGCAGCAAUGCCGCGUGAGUGAAGAAGGUCUUAGGAUAGUAAAGCCCUUUCGACGGGGACGAUGAUGACGGUACCCGUAGAAGAAGCCCCGGCUAACUUCGUG
rnacentral:rRNA from 1 species